CGCUGGCGGCAUGCUUAACACAUGCAAGUCGCACGGGCAGUAGCAAUACUGUCAGUGGCGGACGGGUGAGUAACGCGUAGGAAUCUAUCCUUGAAUGGGGGACAACCGUGGGAAACUACGGCUAAUACCGCAUGAUGCCUGAGGGCCAAAGACGAAAGUCGUUUGAGGAGGAGCCUGCGUCUGAUUAGGUAGUUGGUGGGGUAAAGGCCUACCAAGCCCUACGAUCAGUAGCUGGUCUGAGAGGAUGAUCAGCCACAUUGGGACUGAGACACGGCCCAAACUCCUACGGGAGGCAGCAGUGGGGAAUAUUGGACAAUGGGCGCAAGCCUGAUCCAGCAAUGCCGCGUGGGUGAAGAAGGUCUUCGGAUUGUAAAGCCCUUUUGGCGGGGACGAUGAUGACGGUACCCGCAGAAUAAGCUCCGGCUAACUUCGUG
rnacentral:rRNA from 1 species